rnacentral:rRNA from 1 species
GACCCUACGGGGUGCAGCAGGCGCGAAAACUUCACACUGCGGGAAACUGUGAUGAGGGAACUCCAAGUGGUACCACGAAAUGCGGUAUCCUUUUCUUGACUCUUAACAGGUCUUGGAAUAAGGGGUGGGAAAGACCGGUGCCAGCCGCCGCGGUAAUACCGGCACCUCAAGUGGUCGUCGCUUUUAUUGGGCCUAAAACGUCCGUAGCCGGUUUGGUAAACCCGUGGGUAAAUCAACCAGCUUAACUGGUUGAAUUCUGCGGAGACUGCCAAACUUGGAACCGGGAGAGGUGUGAGGAACUCUUGGGGUAGGGGUAAAAUUUGUUUAUCCCAGGGGGACCACCUGUUGCGAAGGCGUCACACUAGAACGGAUUCGACGGUCAGGGACGAAGCCUAGGGGCACGAACCGGAUUAGAUACCCGGGUAGUCCUAGGUGUAAACGCUGUGGACUUGGUGUCGGGAGUCCCUAGAGGGCCCCCGGUGCCGCAGCGAAGGUGUUAAGUCCACUGCCUGGGGAGUACGGUCGCAAGGCUGAAACUUAAAGGAAUUGGCGGGGGAGCACUGCAACGGGAGGAGCGUGCGGUUUAAUUGGAUUCAACGCCGGAAAACUCACCAGAGCCGACUGUCAGAUGAAAGCCAGCGUAAUGAGCUUGCUGGAUUGUCAGAGAGGUGGUGCAUGGCCGUCGUCAGUUCGUACCGUAAGGCGUUCUGUUAAGUCAGAUAACGAACGAGACCCUCAUCCUCAUUUGCUAACCCAGUCGCAAGAUUGGGUGCACUAUGGGGAGACCGCUUGAUGUUAAAUCAGAGGAAGGCGAGGGCAACGGUAGGUCAGUAUGCCCCGAAUGCUCUGGGCUACACGCGCGCUACAAAGGACGGGACAAUGGGAGGCCACGCCGAGAGGCGGAGCUAUCCCGAAACCCGUUCAUAGUUCGGAUUGAGGGCUGUAACUCGCCCUCAUGAAGCUGGAUUCCGUAGUAAUCGUGUUUCAAAAUAGCACGGUGAAUAUGCCCCUGCUCCUUGCACACACCGCCCGUCAAACCAUCUUAGUUGGGGGUGGGUGAGGCUACGUUUUAUUGGCGUAUUCGAGCCUGUCUUCGA